GGCUGGUCCGAAGGUGGUGAGUUAUCUCAGCUGAUUGUUCACUGUCAGCUACAAAUCAAACUCCUUGUUGCACUCUUUCCCCCAUCUCACUACUGCACUUGACCAGUCUUUU
ensembl:Y_RNA Y_RNA Y RNA